GGCUCCUAUUGAGACCGCAAAGAGACCAGCAGAAAGACAAAGAAAAAAGAAAGGAUGACGUAAAGGGGUGGUGGAGAUGGAAGGAGAAGAGGCCUGAAUGGUGUCAUGGAUUCUUGGAACCCAAGUUGGUGACUUCUGCCUCCAGACUUCCCAUAGGAACACUCUCACUGAAGAGAGAUGGUUUUGGAUUUUGCUCCUCUCCAAAAGCGCAUAUCCUCGUGAAUAACAUGCCUGAAGUUAGCAUAAACCCUGGUGACCGAGUGGAAACACCUGCUGUGAUUCAGCGUGGCUGACUCUCAAAGUCCUCCUCAUCGGACAUCUAACUCACACCUUCGUCUCCUGCUGUGUUGGAGGGGUGCAUGGGUGUAAUCGUUAAGCAUCAGGACAGCACUACAAAAACUACAAGACCUCGUUCGUGCAUGCGUGCAUGCAUGCAUUCAUUCACUCGACGAACAUGCCAGCAUUUUGAUGUAUUAGGACACUCUCUUCCCUGAUCUGUGUGGGCUCUUCUCAUUGUUAUUUCCAGGGCUUAACGUGACUUAGGGAGGAGGACAUUCAUAGAAGGAGAUGCAUUUUAGGAAGGGAAACAGAAAUAAAACCUCACAGGCUGCCCCAGUAGGCCUAGCCCGACAUCAGUGUUAGACUGAUACAUAGCUCAGGGUCUCCGUGGGUAAUUUCUUAUCAUACGCGACAGGCUGGGGUUCAUCCUAUCGGCUAAACUCCAUAUGAAAAAUGGGACACUGCCUGGAGAUUUGACCCCACUGUCGCAAACGGGACUCCAGCCACCUAGGCAGCCAAGCUGUUUGCUCUUUCUCGCUCUAGCUCUCUCCCUUGGGGACAGGUCAGUCUUCAUUAGCAGCUUCACCGGGUGCCACGCAAGGGCAAAAGAAGGAACCUGCACCAACCCAACCACCUGUUUUCCAGCCACCUGCUCUCUCGCGGAGAGGGAAGACCUACCUCAUUUGGUCAUGAUCUCACGGUUCGCGAGUUCGUCGAGCCCUGCAUCAGGCUCUGUGCUGACAGUGUGGAACCUGCCUGGGAUUCUUUCUCUCUCUCUCUGCCCCUCCCCUGCUUUGUG